rnacentral:rRNA from 1 species
CGUCAACAAGGUUUCCGUAGGUGAACCUGCGGAAGGAUCAUUG